rnacentral:rRNA from 1 species
CGGACGGGUGAGUAACACGUGAGCAACCUGCCUUUCAGAGGGGGACAACACUGGGAAACUGGUGCUAAUACCGCAUAACGUGCCUUGAUGGCAUCAUCGAGGUACCAAAGGAGCAAUCCGCUGAAAGAUGGGCUCGCGUCCGAUUAGAUAGUUGGUGAGGUAAUGGCUCACCAAGUCUACGAUCGGUAGCCGGGCUGAGAGGCCAAACGGCCACAUUGGGACUGAGAUACGGCCCAGACUCCUACGGGAGGCAGCAGUGGGGAAUAUUAGGCAAUGGGGGAAACCCUGACCUAGCAACGCCGCGUGAAGGAUGAAGGCUUUCGGGUUGUAAACUUCUUUUAUUCGUGACGAAACAAAUGACGGUAGCGAAUGAAUAAGCCACGGCUAACUACGUGCCAGCAGCCGCGGUAAUACGUAGGUGGCGAGCGUUGUCCGGAAUUACUGGGUGUAAAGGGCGCGUAGGCGGGACUAUAAGUCUGAUGUGAAAUAUCCGGGCUCAACCCGGAGGGUGCAUUGGAUACUGUGGUUCUUGAGUGAUGGAGAGGCAGGCGGAAUUCCCGGUGUAGCGGUGGAAUGCGUAGAUAUCGGGAGGAACACCAGUGGCGAAGGCGGCCUGCUGGACAUUAACUGACGCUGAGGCGCGAAAGCGUGGGGAGCAAACAGGAUUAGAUAUCCUGGUAGUCCACGCUGUAAACGAUGGAUACUAGGUGUGGGGGGACUGACCCCUCCCGUGCCGCAGUUAACACAAUAAGUAUCCCACCUGGGAGUACGGCCGCAAGGUUGAAACUCAAGGAAUUGACGGGGCCCGCACAGGCAGUGAAGUAUGGUGGUUUAAUUCGACG